UACGUAGGUGACAAGCGUUGUCCGGAUUUACUGGGCGUAAAGAGCGCGCAGGCGGUCGUUCAAGUCGAGUGUGAAAGCCCCCGGCUCAACUGGGGAGGGUCAUUCGAUACUGAUCGACUCGAAGGCAGGAGAGGGAAGUGGAAUUCCCGGUGUAGUGGUGAAAUGCGUAGAUAUCGGGAGGAACACCAGUGGCGAAGGCGGUUCUCUGGGCAUGAUCUGACGCUGAGGAGCGAAAGUGUGGGGAGCGAACAGG
rnacentral:rRNA from 1 species